GGGACCCUGACACCCCAGCUCCUCUGUGACUUGAUCAGUCAUCUGCAGGCCGGGUGGUUUUUCCUCCCCACCUUGUGUUUCCUGGGAAGACCGUGACUGGCGGACCGUGUGGGUGGGAAGAGGCCUCCAUACUUCCGGGGUCCUGAGAGUAUUCUGUCCCCACGGCUGCUUCCGUGUGGGUGGUAACUGUGUGGGAGAGGAUGUAUCAAUUGCUAGCAACAGUCAGAAACCAUGAAGAAAGUUUCAUUCGCUCUUUGGCCCCAAGCGGGAGGGAGGGCACCACCAGUAUCCUUCUCAUUCCACGGCUCUGAGUUCUGAGCCUCUGUCCUUCAGCAGGAAUCUCUGGAGAGAUCUCAGAGCCGUUUCCAGGGUGCUGUGCGCUCAAGCAGAUCCGCAACAACACAUUCCACACAUUCCUGUCUGUGUGCCCUCUGGCUAGAAUGGAAAGUGACGGACAGCUUCCAGUAUAAACAAGGGAGCAGCAUCUUAGACCAGAGAAAAAUCAGAAGCAACUGAGGAAGCCCUUGUGAGGGAGGUGGACCCCAAGCUUGCAGAUGGGCUGCUGGAAGAACAGCCAUGUGAUGCUGUAAAGUCCUGGUGCUGGACAACGUCCAACAGCACGGAAUGAUGCUUUCCAUGUGAAUAUUAGGCACCCCAAACGAUGUAAAAUACAUGUGUGAAUGAUCUUGGGGAAAGAGUGGGUUUAGAUGAAGCUUGAAGAGGACCUCUGGGUGGAGCCUGUUUGUGUUCAGACCCCAAAUACACUACGAGUCAAGCAGCCUUGCGAGCUACUCAGUCUCCCCUUACCUGUGAAACGAGGUUGUCAUCCCUGUGUCUGCCCUGUGUGGCCGGUGGGCGAGUGAGAGAUACUGUCCCUGACUCCCAGAAUGCAUUUCAGACUAGGAAUUUUAUUAUUAAAUCUCGGAGCUAUUUUCUUGUACUAAUAGAGGCCCAUUGCUUUUGUAACUACUGAGACUAGAGGAGGCACAGCAAAUGGGAAGAAAGAAGAGAGAGAUGAGAAGAGAUGCUAGGAGGCAGAGACGCUCAUCUGACCAGCAUCCCUGCCCACUGUUUCCGCAGUGACAAGAUGAACCUGGGCCUCCUGUGACCUCAGCUGCUGCCGCCUGCAUCUGGGCUCCCAGAACCAACUCUGGCAAAGUGGUGCUGGGCUGGUCAGAAGCCCUGGACUCGCCCUGCGAGUUCCCCAUCUGUGAGUUCCUUCGAAUCUUUGACCAGCUUUAAAUACCUGCAGUUAAUUGGGCAUUGCCACUGCACUCAUGUAGAGAGAGAUGUUGAUUUUCCUUUUUAUCAUUUGUUUAUCUGCCCUGAGGGAAGGAGCAGGCAGAGGAAAAUGAAGGAAUGGACAAUUUCUGCUGGGAAAUUUAUGGGGAGUUGGAUUAAUUGCUCAGCUGAAAACCCUGGGCUUAAAUGCUCACAGCAGGGGUGUGCGAUUCAGACCCAUCCACAAGAAGACAAAACACUGCCAGCGCUGAAGCCACAGAAAGGUGGGGAAUUCAUUACCAAAACCAAACCACUCAUGAUUGUUUCCUGGAGAUUGAUUUCUUUUCUCUUAAAAAAGUUUUAAUUUAAAUGGGGUGGGGAGAGGUCAUAAAUGAGACCCCUGAAGCUACAUUGUCAUUCAUUCUGUUUUUCUCACUUCUUCCUGCUCUCAUUCACUAAUGUACUUAACCAACAUUACUAUCUAUAAUACACAUUUGUGUAAUGUACAUUGUAAUAUUAUAAUGUAUGGCUGUAUAUUACAGAACAUGACUGCGCUUUGUCCCUGGUUCUUGGAAGGUAGCCUGUAAGUCUUUAGGGUUUAUUUUUAUUUUUCUUUCCCAGUACUGGGGAUUGAACCUAGGACCUUCACUUUGAAAUGCAGCUUCAGCCCUCUUUAAUUUUUACCUUGUUACAGGGUCUUGCUAAGUCACUAAGUUGCCCAGGCUGGGCUCUAACUUGUGACCCUCCUGCCUUAGCCUCCCAGAG